CAGAUAGAGGCGCGGUUUUCAUCAGUAUCGGUCUGGAAGGGUCCGUAAACCCGUUGAGCAGCCGAGAAAGGGUCUGCCGCCGAAGCCGGUUCUUGUUGCGGCAAGGCCGUGCUGGACGCUGCUGGAAAAUAUCCCUGCGUCUGUCAUCAGCAGAAAUGCCGGUGGAGAGCUAUCC
rnacentral:ncRNA from 1 species